UUUGAAUGUUUAUGGUUGAUUUGUCAAUGGUAUGAAUUUUAUAAUGGCUUCUGUAAUCACUCAUCGUGAUGAAAAAAUGCUAUUGGUUAUCACCUAUGAAUCACCAUUUCAACUUGAAACACAUAAAAGCCACAACAUAGAUGUUCAUGUUUUGAGCUUAGCGUUUUUGUUGAUCUUUCUAGCUUAUGGAGUUGCUCAAAAUUUACAGAGCACUCUCAAUACUGUUAGUUUUCAUUUCUUUUAAUUCUGAUGUUGAAUUUUAAAGAUGGUGAGUAAUUGUGAUAAUUUAUUACUUUUUAUGAGGAGGAUUUGGGCACGACUUUUCUUGAUAUAAUUUAUUUUCUUCUUUGGUGGUGCGGAUUCUUGAAUCCGAGAAUGCUUUGAUUAUUGGAACUUAUGGUUAUUGGCUCUACGUGGCUGCGAAUUCCAAGCCCAACUGGUAACUGCAAGUGGGAGUUAUCUUGUUUAUGAUAUUCAUGUAUUAUUAUUUGUCAAUGGAACAAAUGUUCAUCAUGAAUGGGAGAUGAAAAACAGUUAGGUAUUCAUCAAGAAGAAGAAGAAGUUAGUUACAUUCAAGAGGAAGAAGAAAAAGAAAGUAUUGUUUCAUUGAUUAAUCAAUAAUGAUUACAACAUGGUUUAUAUAUACAAAAAAGUGAUAUGUAGUGUAAGCUAAGGUGUGUGCUCUGUACAAUAUAAUGUGUUAUUUCUAAUAUCCCCCCUCAAGGUGGAUUUUGGAUACUACAAAGACCAAGCUUGGAUAAAAGAGAAGUAAAGGUUGGUAGAGUGAGGACUGCCCCCACUUAUAAACACAUGUUCAUGCCAUAUAUUGUCCGAUGUGGGACUCUUAACACCCCCCUCAUGCCCAGGACUGGACAUCUGGAGCGUGGAAAUAAAUGGUGGAUGGCCCGAUAACGGAAACCAUAGUAGGUGGCCCACCGGAUCUUAAACCAGGCUCUGAUACCAUGUUAAGAAUGUGUGAUUUGGCCUAACUCAACCCUACAAAACCGGUUGGUAGAGUGAGGACUGCCCCCACUUAUAAACACAUGUUCAUGCCAUAUAUUGUCUGAUGUGGGACUCUUAACACACCCCCUCACGCCCAGGACUGGACAUCUGGAGCGUGGAAAUAAAUGGUGGAUGAUCCGAUAGCGGAAACCAUAGUAGGUGGCCCACCGAAUCUUAAACGAGACUCUGAUACCAUGUCAAUGGAACAAAUGCUCAUCAUGAAUGGGAGAUGAAAAACAGUUAGGUAUUCAUCAAGAAGAAGAAGAAGUUAGUUACAUUCAAGAGGAAAAAGAAAAAGAAAGUAUUGUUUCAUUGAUUAAUCAAUAAUGAUUACAACAUAGUUUAUAUAUACAAAAAAGUGUUAUGUAGUGUAAGCUAAGGUGUGUGUUCUGUACAAUAUAAUGUGGUAUUUCUAAUAUUAUUCUACUGUCAAAACCAUAAACAUGCACAGUGUUUGAUUUUGGUGACUUUAUCAUGAUUUUGUAUUAUAAAACAACUAUUAGUUACUAUUAUGGAUUUGUAUAGUAAAUAUUUCACUACUUUA
rnacentral:lncRNA from 1 species